UACGGAGGGGGCUAGCGUUGUUCGGAAUUACUGGGCGUAAAGCGCACGUAGGCGGCUUGGUAAGUUAGAGGUGAAAGCCUGGAGCUCAACUCCAGAAUUGCCUUUAAGACUGCCGAGCUAGCAGGUGAGAGAGGUGAGUGGAGUUCCGAGUGUAGAGGUGAAAUUCGUAGAUAUUCGGAAGAACACCAGUGGCGAAGGCGGCUCACUGGCUCAUACUGGACGCUGAGGUGCGAAAGCGUGGGGAG
rnacentral:rRNA from 1 species